CAACUCCUGGAUUCAAGCGAUUCUCCUGCCUCAGUCUCGAUGAAGAUAGUCUGAAAACUUGCCUGGAAGUUUGACAACAACAGAGGAGAGCUCCUUUAUCAUCAAAAAGCCAAGAAAGCAAUGCAGUCUUGCUUAUAAAAGUUACACCUGCAAAAAUGGGACUGAAUCCAGUGAGGAAGGACAUAACAUUUUGCUUGAAUGUGCAAAAAAUUGUCUGUAUCCCUGCAAGCUCUGAGCAGCCCAGUGGGUAAAUGAGCGUUUGUUUCCUGUUCACCAUCUUUGAGUUGAAAAUGAGUCACACACUCGUGGAAAGAAUAGUACUAUCUUCUUUUGUCUAGCUCUGCAUGCUUUUGUGGUUACUGAAUUUGUCUUAAUGGGAAGCUUGAUUGUUUCUCUUUUUGAGGCAAACUAUUAGAAUUUAUUUUUAAUCUGGAAUAAGAGUACUUUAAAUAUACUAUUUUUGAUUCAUAACUGGA